UUUAAGGUCUAACCUGCCCAAUGAGGAUUUAAAUGGCCGCAGUAUUUUGACUGUGCAAAGGUAGCAUAAUUAUUAGUUUUUUAAUUGAAAGCUUGUAUGAAGGGUUGGACGAGAUAAAAUCUGUCUUUAUUUAAAUUAAAAUAUAACUUAACUUUUAAGUCAAAAGGCUUAAAUACAUGUAAAAGACGAGAAGACCCUAUAGAUCUUUAUUUAAUUGGGGUUUUAAUAAUUUAAGAUUAUUUUAAUUUAAAAUUUUAAUUAAAUUUUAUUGGGGUAAUAUAAAGAUUAAAUAAAUUCUUUUUAUUUAUAACAUUGAUUUAUGAAUAUAUGAUCCAUUAAUGUUGAUUAUAAGAUUAAGUUACCUUAGGGAUAACAGCGUAAUUUUUUUGGAGAGCUCAUAUCGAUAAAAAAGUUUGCGACCUCGAUGUUGGAUUAAAAGUUAGCUUGGGUGUAGAAGCUCAAGAUUUUGGUCUGUUCGACCAUUAAAUUUUUACAUGAUCUGAGUUCAGACCGGCGUAAGCCAGGUCGGUUUCUAUCUUUAUUUAAAUAAAAUAUUUUAGUACGAAAGGACCAAAUAUUUAAUAUAAUUAUAUUUAUUUUUUGGAGAAUAUU
rnacentral:rRNA from 1 species